rnacentral:rRNA from 1 species
AAUAGGGGAGCCGAAGGGAAACCGAGUCUUAACUGGGCGUUAAGUUGCAGGGUAUAGACCCGAAACCCGGUGAUCUAGCCAUGGGCAGGUUGAAGGUUGGGUAACACUAACUGGAGGACCGAACCGACUAAUGUUGAAAAAUUAGCGGAUGACUUGUGGCUGGGGGUGAAAGGCCAAUCAAACCGGGAGAUAGCUGGUUCUCCCCGAAAGCUAUUUAGGUAGCGCCUCGUGAAUUCAUCUCCGGGGGUAGAGCACUGUUUCGGCAAGGGGGUCAUCCCGACUUACCAACCCGAUGCAAACUGCGAAUACCGGAGAAUGUUAUCACGGGAGACACACGGCGGGUGCUAACGUCCGUCGUGAAGAGGGAAACAACCCAGACCGCCAGCUAAGGUCCCAAAGUCAUGGUUAAGUGGGAAACGAUGUGGGAAGGCCCAGACAGCCAGGAUGUUGGCUUAGAAGCAGCCAUCAUUUAAAGAAAGCGUAAUAGCUCACUGGUCGAGUCGGCCUGCGCGGAAGAUGUAACGGGGCUAAACCAUGCACCGAAGCUGCGGCAGCGACGCUUAUGCGUUGUUGGGUAGGGGAGCGUUCUGUAAGCCUGUGAAGGUGUGCUGUGAGGCAUGCUGGAGGUAUCAGAAGUGCGAAUGCUGACAUAAGUAACGAUAAAGCGGGUGAAAAGCCCGCUCGCCGGAAGACCAAGGGUUCCUGUCCAACGUUAAUCGGGGCAGGGUGAGUCGACCCCUAAGGCGAGGCCGAAAGGCGUAGUCGAUGGGAAACAGGUUAAUAUUCCUGUACUUGGUGUUACUGCGAAGGGGGGACGGAGAAGGCUAUGUUGGCCGGGCGACGGUUGUCCCGGUUUAAGCGUGUAGGCUGGUUUUCCAGGCAAAUCCGGAAAAUCAAGGCUGAGGCGUGAUGACGAGGCACUACGGUGCUGAAGCAACAAAUGCCCUGCUUCCAGGAAAAGCCUCUAAGCAUCAGGUAACAUCAAAUCGUACCCCAAACCGACACAGGUGGUCAGGUAGAGAAUACCAAGGCGCUUGAGAGAACUCGGGUGAAGGAACUAGGCAAAAUGGUGCCGUAACUUCGGGAGAAGGCACGCUGAUAUGUAGGUGAAGUCCCUCGCGGAUGGAGCUGAAAUCAGUCGAAGAUACCAGCUGGCUGCAACUGUUUAUUAAAAACACAGCACUGUGCAAACACGAAAGUGGACGUAUACGGUGUGACGCCUGCCCGGUGCCGGAAGGUUAAUUGAUGGGGUCAGCGCAAGCGAAGCUCUUGAUCGAAGCCCCGGUAAACGGCGGCCGUAACUAUAACGGUCCUAAGGUAGCGAAAUUCCUUGUCGGGUAAGUUCCGACCUGCACGAAUGGCGUAAUGAUGGCCAGGCUGUCUCCACCCGAGACUCAGUGAAAUUGAACUCGCUGUGAAGAUGCAGUGUACCCGCGGCAAGACGGAAAGACCCCGUGAACCUUUACUAUAGCUUGACACUGAACAUUGAGCCUUGAUG